UACGGGAGGCAGCAGUGGGGAAUAUUGCACAAUGGGCGCAAGCCUGAUGCAGCCAUGCCGCGUGUAUGAAAAAGGCCUUCGGGUUGUAAAGUACUUUCAGUCGUGAGGAAGGUGUUAAGGUUAAUAACCUUAGCAAUUGACGUUAGCGACAGAAGAAGCACCGGCUAACUCCGUGCCAGCAGCCGCGGUAAUACGGAGGGUGCGAGCGUUAAUCGGAAUUACUGGGCGUAAAGGGCACGCAGGCGGUUAAUUAAGUUGGAUGUGAAAUCCCCGGGCUUAACCUGGGAAUGGCAUUCAAGACUGGUUAGCUAGAGUCUUGUAGAGGGGGUAGAAUUCCAUGUGUAGCGGUGAAAUGCGUAGAGAUGUGGAGGAAAUACCGGUGGCGAAAGGCGGCCCCUGGACAAAAGACUGACGCUCAUGUGCGAAAAGCGUGGGGAGCAAAACAGGGAUUAGAUACC
rnacentral:rRNA from 1 species